AACGACUCUCGACAACGGAUAUCUCGGCUCUCGCAUCGAUGAAGAACGUAGCGAAAUGCGAUACUUGGUGUGAAUUGCAGAAUCCCGUGAACCAUCGAGUCUUUGAACGCAAGUUGCGCCCGAAGCCACUAGGCCGAGGGCACGCCUGCCUGGGUGUCGCGC
rnacentral:rRNA from 1 species